UUACGAGGAGUAUCUCGAGAAGAUUAAGGAGCAUGACCUUGUGAAAGAUGCCUAUGUCCAGUGGACGAGCAACCAGAUGGCGAGUUUCACUCGGUUCAUGAUGACUGGAGUGCGAGAGGAACCACUCCCAGAGCCACCUCAUCCGGGGCCGACGCCAGUGUUCCCGUCCAAGGAGGAGUUCUAUAUCAUGUACAAGCGUCAGCGUCAGUUGACCCCGGGAUUGGGAGAAUCCGGGAACGACACUCCUUGUGGUACGCCGAUGCACCCCGGUCGCCAUUCUCCUCGG